GUAGACAGGGUUAAUGGAAGAAUGGUGUCACCAACGUUGGACGACACACCAGCCGUAUCAGUACGUGUUAAUUCGCUACACGCAACCCGCGUGGCGUUGAUAUUGAAUCGUUACUUUUCAUUUUCUUGGCCGUCGGCAUAGUCGACCCUUGGCGUCGUUCGUGCAGUCUCUGGCAGCCACAUGGCGCCAUUAGUCGACACGGCACCACUAACGUUUCUCGCCUGCUGCUGUAAUAAGUCACGGAAAUGCUAUCUUCAGUCCAUAGAGUGGGAUCUCAUAAACAAAACGACACCAAAAAGAAAUUGAAAAAUUCCAACUCGUUCAUCCGGAAUCGUAGCAAAAUCACAGCAAUGCGCAAAUGAUGCAGUCACUUUCAAUUACAUAUAUUUCCCUCAAAUAUUCAUACUUUUUGGACUUCUGCAUCUGAUUUUGUUCAAUAAAGAAACCUUA